CAAGUCGAGGGGCAGCAGGACUGUAGCAAUACAGUUGCUGGCGACCGGCAAACGGGUGCGGAACACGUACGCAACUUACCCAAAACUGGGGAAUAGCCCGGGGAAACCCGGAUUAAUACCUCGUAAGAUAAUGGAGUGGCAUCACUUUAUUAUUAUAGCUCCGGCGGUUUUGGAUGGGCGUGCGCCUGAUUAGGUAGUUGGCGGGGUAACGGCCCACCAAGCCUACGAUCAGUAACUGGUGUGAGAGCACGACCAGUCACACGGGCACUGAGACACGGGCCCGACUCCUACGGGAGGCAGCAGUAAGGAAUAUUGGUCAAUGGACGCAAGUCUGAACCAGCCAUGCCGCGUGAAGGAUGAAGGUCCUCUGGAUUGUAAACUUCUUUUAUAUGGGAAGAAAUCCACUUUUUCUUGAGUGGUUGACGGUACCAUAGGAAUAAGCACCGGCUAACUCCGUGCCAGCAGCCGCGGUAAUACGGAGGGUGCAAGCGUUAUCCGGAUUCACUGGGUUUAAAGGGUGCGUAGGAGGGCAGGUAAGUCAGUGGUGAAAUCUCCAAGCUUAACUUGGAAACUGCCGUUGAUACUAUCUGUCUUGAAUACCGUGGAGGUGAGCGGAAUAUGUCAUGUAGCGGUGAAAUGCUUAGAUAUGACAUAGAACACCAAUUGCGAAGGCAGCUCGCUACACGAAUAUUGACUCUGAGGCACGAAAGCGUGGGGAUCAAACAGGAUUAGAUACCCUGGUAGUCCACGCCCUAAACGAUGGAUACUCGACAUACGCGAUACACAGUGUGUGUCUGAGCGAAAGCAUUAAGUAUCCCACCUGGGAAGUACGACCGCAAGGUUGAAACUCAAAGGAAUUGGCGGGGGUCCGCACAAGCGGUGGA
rnacentral:rRNA from 1 species